rnacentral:misc_RNA from 1 species
AAGUCGUAACAAGGUAACCGUAGGUGAACCUGCGGUUGGAUCAUUAAAAAAUUUUGGUCUCGUGCCAAAACAACCUUUGUGUGCACCAUUGUCUGUCCUUGGUAGUUCGAGUUGCGUCCUGGGAGCUCAACACUCCGAUCUUGGGACGUCUACCCAGACACUCACGGUUUCGUGGUGUUUGGGUUGGGCUACCGCUUUUUUGAACAAACCUUUUGUAAUUGUUUUAUGCCUGAACGAAGAGUUGAUCUUUUUUGAUUAAUUAUUCUUAUACAACUUUUGACAACGGAUCUCUUGGCUCUC